AUGAACGCUGGCGGCGUGCCUAAUACAUGCAAGUCGAGCGAACAGACGAGGAGCUUGCUCCUCUGACGUUAGCGGCGGACGGGUGAGUAACACGUGGAUAACCUACCUAUAAGACUGGGAUAACUUCGGGAAACCGGAGCUAAUACCGGAUAAUAUAUUGAACCGCAUGGUUCAAUAGUGAAAGACGGUUUUGCUGUCACUUAUAGAUGGAUCCGCGCCGCAUUAGCUAGUUGGUAGGUAACGGCUUACCAAGGCAACGAUGCGUAGCCGACCUGAGAGGGUGAUCGGCCACACUGGAACUGAGACACGGUCCAGACUCCUACGGGAGGCAGCAGUAGGGAAUCUUCCGCAAUGGGCGAAAGCUUGACGGAGCAACGCCGCGUGAGUGAUGAAGGUCUUCGGAUCGUAAAACUCUGUUAUUAGGGAAGAACAAAUGUGUAAGUAACUAUGCACGUCUUGACGGUACCUAAUCAGAAAGCCACGGCUAACUACGUG
rnacentral:rRNA from 1 species